GCGACACAAACCACCAUAGCGUCUGAUAUUCGCAAAUUCUACACACUGAAUGAACACUUAGUAGACUCCCCCACCACUGUGUGGGUAGCACAUAAAAUGGUCAUCCAUGGCAGGUUGAUAGCCAUAGCCUCAGCGCAUAAAAAAACAACAGCUGUAACUUCUUAGCGACACCAUGACCAAACUCAAAAGACUUGAAGAACCCCCAACCAGUCGAUCUAUACACAACUCUCGGCCACAUGCCAAGGCACUCGUGGA